GCGGACGUGGCGAAACUGGUAGACGCAAGAGACUUAAAAUCUCUCGGCCUUCGGUCAUGCGGGUUCGAUCCCCGCCGUCCGCACCA
rnacentral:tRNA from 1 species